rnacentral:rRNA from 1 species
AACGAACGCUGGCGGCAUGCCUAACACAUGCAAGUCGAACGAGACCUGCGGGUCUAGUGGCGCACGGGUGCGUAACGCGUGGGAACCUGCCCUUAGGUUCGGAAUAACUCCCCGAAAGAGGUGCUAAUACCGGAUAAUGUCUUCCGACCAAAGAUUUAUCGCCUUUGGAUGGGCCUGCGUUGGAUUAGCUAGUUGGUAGGGUAAAAGCCUACCAAGGCGACGUUCCAUAGCUGGUCUGAGAGGAUGAUCAGCGACACUGGUACUGAGACACGGCCCAGACUCCUACGGGAGGCAGCAGUGGGGAAUAUUGGACAAUGGGCGAAAGCAUGAUCCAGCUAUGCCGGGUGAGUGAUGAAGGCCUUAGGGUUGUACAGCUCUUUUACACGUGAUGAUAAUGACAGUACCGGGAGAAUAAGCACCGGCUAACUCCGUG